rnacentral:lncRNA from 1 species
UUUGUUUAUUUGUUUCCAACAAAGAACAGUGUAUCCUGCAGCAGUAGUUGGAAAUUUGGUAAAGGACUGAGAACUGUUUGUGUUCUUAUCACCACUAGUGCCUCUUCAGCAUGCCAUUGGGUGAUAAUAGUUUCUAUCUUGACUUUUAUUUUUUGCUAUAAAAUAAAUGAUAGCAAGUGACUCUUUAAGGGAACAGUUUUUAUUUGGAGUGAUUCAAAAGUCUGGCAUCUCACUUUUAUGGAAAACAGAUCUGUCUUCUGCCACUAAACUAGGGAAUUGUUGACUGGAAAUAAUCUUACUAAACCAAUUAAAAAAACUAUUCAUGGAUCUUUCUCAUCAGCAGCUCAGCAAUUCAUAUAUCUUUCAGAUAUCAGAAGGGGCUAAUCAUGUGUGUGUUACUAAGGAAUCCACUGUGUAUAUUUUGUAAACACACUUAGAUGAAUCCAAGAAGAAAACCAGGGCAGUUAGGAAACUUACAUCUUCUGUUCUUCCUUAUCCUGGGAUGAAAUGAAACAGAAGUGGGAGAUUAUGUUCUUUUCCCCAUUUUAAUUUAGCAAACUAGGAAUUGUUUCCACUAAGUUCUAUAAAGAUUGCAUGUGCCGCACAAAUAUUCCUCGUAUAUAAUAUACUUUCAGGUUAGUUUUUUUCAGCAGCCAGGAUGAAGGCAGGGUAAAAAUGCCCCUGUAAAAUCUUUCCUGUGUUCAGCGAAAGGCUGCUUCCACUAUUUUUAAAGGGGCCUCUAUACAAUUCAAUAGAUUUAUUGAGUGCUGACUGCAUCUGGCAAAGGGCAUGGAGACAGGCAUAUAGAGAGGUACCAGCGGGAGCAGGAGAGAAGUGUUCAUCAAGACCGGAAGAAAGGACUAGAGUGGGGAAGACAGAGAGAAAGAGAGGGAGGGAGUAAUGCUGUAUUGGGACAGGAAAUACUAACAGCUAAUAUUUUUGCUUAUACAUUUACUAUUUGCUAGAUACUAUGCUGAACACUUAGCACAUAUUUCCUUAUCCAUCCACCACAAUUUAAUGAUGGAACAGACCACAAGUGGAUACCACAAGUAGGUAUCACUAUUAAUCCCCCCUCCCCUUUUAAGACAGACUAACUUAUCAGAGUUUUAUGCUUUAACAAUUUGAGCAUUCUUGGGAUGAACAUGUUUUUUCGGUGGCCCUGAGCGAGGAUGGGAGAGAGUGACUUUUUUUUCCCCUUUUGGCCUCACCCGCAACAUGUGGAAGUUCCUGAGCCUGCAAGUGAACCUAUGCCACAGCUGCAACCCAAGCCACAGCAGUGACAAUGCCGGAUCCUUAACCUGCUGAGCCACUAGAAAAGUCAGAGGGUGACUUUUAUCUGUGAUACUCCCACACACCACCCCUUGUCCUGUGCUCAGGGCUGCUAGCUCAUUCUCCACCUCUUUUCAAAUGACCAUUUGUUUGCUCCUUACAUCCAAGCUGUCCUGUGUCCCAGAUCUGAUAUUUGUUUCCUGAGGUUAGAGAGGAAGUAGAAUCUAGAGUCAGAAAAGACUGAAAGACAUUACCUGGUCUAAUCCUCCCAUUGGGCAGAUGAGGAAAACUGAGGCCCAGAGAAGUGACACAUCCCAACUCACAGAGCUAGAUAACAGGUCUUUGAUGAAUUGUUCCUUCUUAUGUAUAACUGUUGUUGCUUUUUGGAGAAAUAUGACAGGGGCCUACAGGAUUCCCUAAUGUCUGAGAUGAAGACCACUGGCAGUUCUCAAGAUGAUUUAGGUGAUGAUCAACAGCAUUUAACUUCCGGUCAAUCCUUCCGGUUUAGGCCAAGGAGAUCGUUUCCAUUUGGCCCUGUGUUGAACACCCAAUACUUGGUAAUCUCUCCUUUUAACAAAGAGAAUAAAGCUCAGGCUCAGAGCGGACAAGCAACUAGCCAGCAAGACUCUAAGAACCUUGUUUUGUUUUCACUGUAUUUAUUAUUAUGCCACUAUUUAUGGCAAAUGAUACUCAUUUUCUGUUUCAGUGGUGAUACAAAGUUUCUCCUAAAAUGUACCCAUGUUUUUAAAAAUUGAUCUAAACUCUUCAGCAAAUAAUAUUGCAGAUGGUUCACAAAUAUGACAAAAAUCUUCAUAAGGGUAAACAAAUGAUUUAAAAGCAGAAGAUAUCUGUGAACCGAUUAAGUGGCAAAGAAUAAUGAUCUGGGCCCCUGCGCAGGCCCCCGAGGCAGGCAUAUCUUGAUCACACUGCCCUGCUCCUUGCCUACUAUGAGAAGGGUCAUCUUGGCGUGAGGAUGAGGAUAAAUUCACGUAGACAAAUCACUUGGCAUCGUCCUCCCCGCCCCUAAUGGUCCCAUGGUUUGGCUUCCCCC